AGUUAAUUUAAAUAAAUAAUCUUGGGGUCUGUUCUUUGAUCUCUUCUUGACAUCAUCGUAUCGCGGAAGCUCCUUCACCGGGUACUCCCGCUUUGCUCUCCGGUUCCUCCGUCAGAGUUUUUGAAGCCGGUGCCGUGUAGGGUGGGCUGAAUUACUUGCACAAAGAUAAAACAAGCAUGGCAGAAUUCAUGGAGCUGGAAGGGCAGGACGGGGUUCGGAUGGCAUGGAAUGUGGUGCCAGGGACAAAGCAAGAGGCAAGCAACUGUGUGGUGCCAGUGUCAGCCAUCUACACCCCGAUCAAACCAUUUCCCAACAUGCCGGUCCUACCCUAUGCUCCUCUCCGCUGCCGCAACUGCCGCUCUGUACUCAACCCCUUCUCCAUCGUGGAUUUCGCUGCCAAGAUUUGGAUCUGCCCCUUCUGCUUCCAGCGCAAUCACUUCCCUCCCCACUACGCCUCCAUCUCAGAUGAAAACCUCCCUGCUGAGCUCUUCCCUCAGUACACAACCAUUGAGUACCAAUCCCCCGGGGAAGCCUCCUCCCUUCCUCCUGUCUUCAUGUUUGUGCUCGACACCUCCAUCAUCGAAGAGGAAAUGGCAUUCCUCAAGUCAUCCUUGUCACAGGCCAUCGGCCUCUUGCCGGACAACUCUCUUGUUGGCUUGAUCACUUUUGGCACCCUCGUUCAUGUGCAUGAGCUUGGCUUUGGAGCCAUUCCUAAAACCUAUGUCUUCAAGGGCUCAAAGGAUGUCUCCAAAGACCAGCUUCUUGAGCAGAUGAGCUUUUUCCUGAAUAAGCCCAAGCCCACCACUGGCGUGAUUGCUGGUGCCAGGGACGGCUUGUCUUCCGAGAGCAUUGCACGAUUCCUUCUGCCUGCUUCUGAGUGCGAGUUUGCCCUCAAUUCGGUCUUGGAGGAGCUCCAAAAAGAUCCUUGGCCCAUUCCAGCUGAUCAACGGGCCACCAGGUGCACCAGCACUGCCUUGAGUGUGGCUGCCAGUUUGUUGGGUGCCUGCGUCCCCGGUUCUGGAGCUCGGAUCAUGGCAUUUAUUGGUGGCCCCUCAACUGAAGGUCCCGGUGCUAUUGUCUCAAAGAAUCUAUCUGAACCAAUACGUUCUCACAAGGAUCUGGAUAAAGAUUCUGCUCCCCAUUAUCACAAAGCUGUUAAGUUCUAUGAAGCACUUGCUAAGCAGCUUGUGCACCAAGGACAUGUGCUCGAUCUCUUUGCUUGUGCCCUCGACCAGGUUGGUGUUGCUGAACUUAAAGUUGCUGUUGAGAGAACCGGGGGACUUGUUGUGCUUGCAGAAAGUUUUGGCCAUUCAGUAUUUAAGGACUCUCUUAGGCGUGUUUUCCAGUCAGAGGACAAGGAUCUUGGAAUAUCUUCAAAUGGUAUAUUUGAGAUAAACUGUUCAAAGGACAUCAAAGUUCAGGGUAUUCUUGGGCCCUGCGCAUCUCUUGAAAAGAAAGGUCCUUUGUGCUCUGACACCAUUGUCGGGCAGGGGAGCACCAGUGCAUGGAAAAUGUGUGGCCUUGAUCAAGCUACAUCUUUAUGUUUAAUAUUUGAAAUUGUUAAAAAGGACAUUCCUGAUUCUACUGUUCAGUCCUCGGGCAAUCAAUUCUAUUUCCAAUUUCUAACAUAUUACCAGCAUAGCACUGGCGAAAUGAGACUUCGUGUUACAACUCUUUCAAGAAGAUGGGUUGCUGGACCUGGAAGCAUACAGGACUUGAUUGCUGGAUUUGACCAAGAAGCAGCUGCUGUAGUAAUGGCACGCUUUGUGUCUUUCAAAAUGGAAAUUGAGGCUGAAUUUGACCCUAUAAGAUGGUUGGAUAAAGCGUUGAUACAUAUAUGUUCUCGGUUUGGGGAUUACCAAAAGGAUAGCCCAUCUUCUUUCAGUCUGUCUCCAAGGUUUUCAAUAUUUCCUCAGUUCAUGUUUCAUUUACGACGUUCACAGUUUGUCCAGGUCUUCAAUAACAGCCCUGAUGAGACGGCAUACUUUAGAAUGAUCCUGAAUCGGGAAAAUGUUGCCAAUUCAGUUGUGAUGAUUCAACCUUCACUGAUUUCCUACUCAUUUCAGUCGGCUCCAGAACCAGCAUUGCUUGAUGUGGCUGCCAUUGCAGCUGACAGGAUCCUUCUUUUGGACUCUUAUUUCACUAUUGUUAUUUUUCAUGGCUCAACUAUCGCUCAGUGGCGAAAAGCUGGAUACCACAAUCAACCUGAGCAUCAGGAUGUAGGAAGAUGGUAAGUAAGAAGAUGGCAUCAUAACAGAAGUGCAUUUUCAUCAUCAAUGAUCACAUAAGCAAUCACCGUAUCAAAAGUGAUGUAACUGGGAAAGAGAGAGAUGUGAGGGAAAAUUUGGGGGAAAGGGAAAGCAAAAGGUGGUGGGCAUAAGUGCUUGGUCUUAUCAUAUCAUUUGUUGGGUGUAGGCUUUUGCUCAGUUGCUGCAAGCUCCUCGUGGUGAUGCAGAUGCAAUAAUCAAGGAAAGGUUUCCAGUUCCUCGACUAGUCAUUUGUGACCAGCAUGGCUCACAGGCUCGUUUUCUUCUGGCAAAGUUGAAUCCUUCUGCGACAUAUAACUCGGAUGGUCAUCAUCCGGGUGGAGACAUAAUCUUUACGGACGAUGUCAGCUUUGAGGUGUUCUUGGAUCAUCUCCAGAGAUUAGCAGUUCAGUAAAGUAGGAUAGCCAUAGCCAGCCAAUUUUGUAAAAUUUUUCUCACUUUAUUUUUUGUACAGUUGACCAUAAAUUGGUUUAAUUUCUGACUUUGGGCCUUUAUAUUUUAAUUUCAAUCACCACGGAAUAAGUAGAUGCUAUAUUAUAUUA